rnacentral:rRNA from 1 species
AUACGUAGGGUGCGAGCGUUAAUCGGAAUUACUGGGCGUAAAGCGUGCGCAGGUGGUUUUGUAAGUCAGAUGUGAAAUCCCCGGGCUUAACCUGGGAACUGCGUUUGAAACUGCAAGGCUAGAGUGUGGCAGAGGGGGGUGGAAUUCCGCGUGUAGCAGUGAAAUGCGUAGAGAUGCGGAGGAACACCGAUGGCGAAGGCAGCCCCCUGGGUCAGCACUGACGCUCAGGCACGAAAGCAUGGGGAGCAAACAGGAUUAGAAACCCGUGUAGUCC